rnacentral:lncRNA from 1 species
GUCAAUAACAUUGUAAAUAUAGUACCAGUGUUUGUUUGCAUGAGAUAGUUUUGAGGCAAUUAGAAGUAUAGUUCUAUCUUCUCCCCUUUCCCUUUAUAAAGUUCAAGUUGGUUGCAGCAAUAUGACAUCUUGCUGUACGACACCUAUCAUCUUAUUAGUUCAGACAGGAACUAUGUCAUUUAUUUUUUGUAUCUCCAUUGUUUUCAAUUCGAUUAUUUCAUCAUUCAAUAAAUGUUUAUUGCAGUUGUAGGAGGUAGUUCAUUUCUAACUUCAUGUAAAACUGAUUUUUGGAAAUUUGUUUAUUUCCUAGUUUGAGCUUUCUUUAAUUGAGGCCAGUUUCUUGAACCCUAUGCUGGAUUAUUGUUUAUUUUAAUUUUUAAGGAGCUGAAGAGACAUAAUUACAUUUUUAAAAAAUUCAGUAAUUUCUGUUGACAGAGUGAUUAGAGUACAAAAAUCUAAAGAGAUUAUGAAAUGGAAUGGUUUAGCAUUUUUUUUCCUCUUUUUUUCUUUUUUUUUCAUUUAGUCAGGAAGAUGGUUCUUAGAAUGAAGGGGAAGUAAAUAUGAUACCUGCUCCCCAAUCUUAACCCUUUCCAAUCUGUAAAGCUCAUAUUGCCCUUUAUAAUUGGCCUACUGAGAAACAACUUUAGAAAGAAUAAUCACUUAGUAGCAUGACUUAGUAAUAUCACAUGGAUCCAAGUCACUUCAUUAUAUCUCAGUGCUCUGUACUUUUGGGAAUUGACAAUAAAAUGUUAACUUUAACAUAUGUCAGACCAUACAAUUAACUGUUUUUGAGACUGAUAGAAUAAUUUCUCUUUCCCUUUAAACAUAUUAAUGAAAAACAAAUAUUACAAUUCACUGAGACACCAGCCAAAGCUGGUUAUGAAAGCUAUAGAAAAGAGAAUCACAAAUUGGCUCUAGAGAUAAUAAAUGUCCAUUUAGAUAAAACAGAUCUAGUUAGUUUACUUUAUAACCUAAUUUCCAGGUGAAAAACAUUUGAGGGAUGGCUGCCUUCUCAAAAUUAAGCAAUGAUUUAACAGAACUGAUGGGAAGAGAAUUUCUUAGCCUUAGAUAUCCAUCGGGUUGUCAAAUUCUCACUUGAAACGUAAUUAACCAAACAAAUAAACAAAAUUGUCGCCUGCUUGUUGAAAUGCAAAGACCUACAUCUUUUUUUUUUAAAUACCAAUUCUGUAUUCCUUCAGAGAUUCAGAAAAAAUCUUUAAAUACAAACAAAUCAAGUAAUUGUUUAUUUUUCUUAUUUCUUUAUUGUGAUGAUUCGAUAGUACAAGAGGGAAAGAUGUUAGUUUUAAAAUGGGUUUUUAACAACAAAAUCCUUAACAAUAAAAAUCCAUGGUCAGAUCCUGAAUUUAAAACAAAACAAAACAAAACCAAUAUACUUAAUGCCCAUUACAAAUCAAGAUCUGAAAUCUAUGUAUUCUAAUAUGGGGUGAAUAGGAAGAAACAGGACUGUGUAUUUAUUAAAACUUGUUAGCAUCCAGUGUCCAGAACGGACCUACAGGAAAACUGCACUAAUAGUUUUAUUAAUUAAAGGAUCAACUUAACUAUUUGCUUCCAGGCAAUUUCAAGUUGUUGAUGUUUUAAUGAAAUAAAAGUUAAUCGAGUUGGUUUUUUCCUGUUAAGUCAGUGGGAGGCUUGUACCUAUUUUCGGUAAUCUAAGAAAACUGUUGCUUGAAGGGAGGGCAUUAUCUGGAUAUAUACCAAAGUCAAAUGCUAGUUAGGCUAACUUGAAAAACUGGCGAAAGUGGAAGGCUCUUCGUUUCCAUUCCUAAAAGGAUGAAUAGCGACAAUCGGGGGAAAAAAUAAAACAAACAAAAAAGAAAUUACACUUAAAAACCCACGAAAUUCCCUGAAAAAUAACAAGCUAGCCUCAAUAGAAGGUAAACAUCGUCUUGGACCAGCAUUUCCAACAAGAUUUGGAUUUUUGAACGUAGUAAUCUAGUUUGCUCACCCCCAGAGCUCUGCAGAGGGUGAAGCGAGCCCAAACGCUGCCUAACCCACUGUGUUCACAAGUAGCAUUCUGUGAUUCAUCAGUCUUCACUAAGGGAUCUUCCACGAACCCGAAGGAUUUCUCUUUCCGAUCCUAGUACUCACACUCCUUUCCGAGAGUCUGUCCGAAGCUAGAAAAAAGUAGACACAAAGGAGGGGGAAAAACCCCACCCCUUUACAUCCCCUCUCGUAACAUAAAUGCCCGGGAACAGCUUAUUGGAGAUGAGGAAAGGAUUGCUUUCUUCGAAGCAAAAAGCUUCAUAUUUUUUGUGAGACACGAACAAUCCCGACAUUUAGUGAUGGAAGGAAAAGGACAAGAAAUAGUCGGCUAGAUCUACACUUGCAGAGCAGAGAGGGAUAGAGAGGGAAAAGGGUCAAGAGAGUAAGGAGACAGAAAGAAGAGAUCUAGCUACACGCUUUAUUUUAAUCCACCUUCUUGCAAGUGGGAAAUCUACCUGGUAAAGAUCCACCCGAAUUCAAAAAAACAAGCAUCUUUUACUAUUUCUUCAUUCAUCACGUCCCCAUAACUGUGUUUGGAGGGAGUCUCCACCCUUCUCAUCCCUUUAUACCCCCAGCAAAGAGAGUCCUUUUACACCUCCUUCCACCUUCGCGCUCUUUUCUUGUUGCAGGUGGCUCCGAAGAGCCGGGAUUGGAGAAGGGAUGAGAAAGAUGUUGGUAGAACUAUCUGUGGGGCGGUGGUGACGGAGUGACAGACUAGGGAGGGAAAGGGGGGAGUCUCUUCACUUGGAGAACUGUGUCUGUACCGCAGCUAGCCCGAGGCCUGAAGGAAUUAAAUGCGGGAACUUGCAGAUGGUACAAGUGCAGAGACCCGGGCUGCCAGGAAGAGGAAACUGACCACACGGCGGCUCCUCCAGCGACAGGUACUUGCUGGAGUGUAGAGUCUCCGGGUGAUUCACGCCCCCUGGGGCUAGCAGCACCGAUCCCGGGGCGGCGAACAGGGGCAAGCCGGCGAGAAGCAGUCGCGGCCCGGGCCCACUCAUUUCGCCCAGGAUCCGCCGCAGUUCUUGCAGGGAGCUGCCCAGAAGAAGGAUGUAGUUUCUGGCGAGGAGUAGCGUGGCGAUUUUGGAGAGCUUCCUCCCUGGGGAACUCUGGCAAUGGGCGGCAGAAUAGGGCAUUAUGACCUCCCUCAGAGCGUCCAUGGCCAGGUUGAGAUCUUGCAUCCUUUUCCUCUCCCGGCUGUUGAUUUUUCUCCUCAGCUGCUGCUGUUCUUCCUUCAAUUCCGUCUUGCCGCUGCUACUGCCGUUCUCGCCACAGCCGCUGCCACCCUUGACAUUUUUUCCCACGCCCUGCUGCAGCUGCUCCAGAGGCGGUUCCAGCUUCUCGUGCACUUGCUUGGGAAGGAAAGUAGCAGUAGCAGAGGACGAGGACAACUGCUGUCUAUAGCCCACCAAUUCAUAUGGGGAAGCCCCGAGCUGCACAUCCCCCGGCCGUUGUUGCCUCAACAUCUUAGGCAGAACUGCUUUCAAACGAGCCUAGAAACCUUCAUAGUAAAAAAGGGAGUAGAGGGGACGUAGGAGAGAGGGUGGUAACGUAUGCGUGUGUGCGUGUGGCUGUGUGUGUGUGUGUGUGUGUGUGUGUGUACUCUCGUUUUCGCUCGCGGGGGGAUUUUCCAAGCUGCUGGCAGAGGUGACAAGGAAUCCACACUUCAAAAGCUUCCGGAGUGUUUUGCGAACCUUCCCUGCUCCCAAGACCUGGUUACGGGAGCUGCUGUUUGAGGAUGCUGGGAGAAGGGCAUAGAGGGAAGAAGUGUACUGACCAGAGGUCCUUUAAAUCCAGCUCUUGAACUUGGGGAAAAGAAAAGAACCAACUGGG